GUUAGACUUUCCAGCGUGAUGACGCUUCCAUUGCAGUGAGGCUCAGGUGUAUAACGGGAACCGGGGAUGCUGGAGCUACUAACAAACGCUUACAAAACUACUAUUAUCGCAUUCGUGCAUUUUUCUGCAUUUUAAUAUAACGUAAAGCAUUUCGCUUCCGGUGUAGGGGAGGCGAAAAUGAGGACGCAAAUGUUCAAGUGCUGCAUGCGGAGCCCGCCGUUUCCUUUGAUGCCCGAGGGUAACGCCUCCAAAAAGAAAUACACCUAUCAGUGAUGGUUAUGGAGCAUGAUGGACGUCCCCUCAGUCAAUCAGAGCCAGACACCCUGCCAGCCGUGGGCGGGUCAGAAGGACUGGUCCACAGCUUCACCUCCAAGACACCUCUUUGACCCUCUGCCCAGCUUUCAGCAUCUCAACCUGAGGUCUCCUUCUGAUUACACUCCCUGCUACAACCACCUCCAGAUGUCCAGCUCCAGCUUCCAGAGAGACUUCACUGCAUUUUCACCCAAUAACAACAAUCCUCAUAACAGCUUGUUACAUGUUAAUAACACUGACCACAGUGUGCAGCCAGUCAUUCCUGAUGUUUCAGCCACGAUUCCAGCUGCAAACCAAGGAAGUAACAUGAAUGAAGACAUUCAUCCUUGUGACACCCAAUGGACAUCACUUCAUUCCCCUCACAACCCUUACCAAGCUGUAGCUCAACAUUUCCAGCAUCCCUACACACAGCAGGAUUUAGUAAAUGGACCUCCGUCACCACAUCAAAAUCAUUUGCCCAUUAGGCCUCCAUUAUAUGGAAACGAGAGUCCACAGUGUAUACCUCAGCCUGGAUUUGAGGGAGCAAAUGCCAGAUCAUCUGCAGUAUUUACUCACAAUCAUGCCUCGCCCACCUCUCCCAUCCAACAGCAGCCUCAGUGGACACUUCCAGCACACUCUGGAG